rnacentral:rRNA from 1 species
AGUCUGAUGGAGCAACGCCGCGUGAGUGAAGAAGGGUUUCGGCUCGUAAAGCUCUGUUGGUAGUGAAGAAAGAUAGAGGUAGUAACUGGCCUUUAUUUGACGGUAAUUACUUAGAAAGUCACGGCUAACUACGUGCCAGCAGCCGCGGUAAUACGUAGGUGGCAAGCGUUGUCCGGAUUUAUUGGGCGUAAAGCGAGUGCAGGCGGUUCAAUAAGUCUGAUGUGAAAGCCUUCGGCUCAACCGGAGAAUUGCAUCAGAAACUGUUGAACUUGAGUGCAGAAGAGGAGAGUGGAACUCCAUGUGUAGCGGUGGAAUGCGUAGAUAUAUGGAAGAACACCAGUGGCGAAGGCGGCUCUCUGGUCUGCAACUGACGCUGAGGCUCGAAAGCAUGGGUAGCGAACAGGAUUAGAUACCCUGGUAGUCCAUGCCGUAAACGAUGAGUGCUAAGUGUUGGGAGGUUUCCGCCUCUCAGUGCUGCAGCUAACGCAUUAAGCACUCCGCCUGGGGAGUACGACCGCAAGGUUGAAACUCAAAGGAAUUGACGGGGGCCCGCACAAGCGGUGGAGCAUGUGGUUUAAUUCGAAGCAACGCGAAGAACCUUACCAGGUCUUGACAUCCAGUGCAAACCUAAGAGAUUAGGUGUUCCCUUCGGGGACGCUGAGACAGGUGGUGCAUGGCUGUCGUCAGCUCGUGUCGUGAGAUGUUGGGUUAAGUCCGCAACGAGCGCAAC